GACGAACGCUGGCGGCGUGCUUAACACAUGCAAGUCGAACGGAAAGGCCCCUUUGGGGUUCCUCGAGUGGCGAACGGGUGCGUAACACGUGAGUAACCUGCCCUUGACUUCGGGAUAACUUCAGGAAACUGGGGCUAAUACCGGAUAGGAAUCCUUGCUGCAUGGUGGGGGUUGGAAAGCUUCGGCGGUUUUGGAUGGACUCGCGGCUUAUCAGCUUGUUGGUGGGGUAGUUGCUUACCAAGGCUUUGACGGGUAGCCGGCCUGAGAGGGCGACCGGCCACAUUGGGACUGAGAGACGGCCCAGACUCCUACGGGAGGCAGCAGUGGGGAAUAUUGCACAAUGGGCGGAAGCCUGAUGAAGCAACGCCGCGUGCGGGAUGACGGCCUUCGGGUUGUAAACCGCUUUCAGCAGGGGCGAAGCUUGUGGUGACGGUACCUGCAGAAGAAGCAACGGCUAACUACGUG
rnacentral:rRNA from 1 species